ACGGAAUGGCACAUCCGCCUCAUCAUCACAACAGCGGGAAGACGAACAUGUGAUGGAAUCCCUGCACCUCCAAAGGACGCAGAAAUCGUCAGAGAGGAAGUCUGCACUCUUUCCGACGUACUGCAGGUGAACGUUCUCCCGCAGCCAUCGGCAACAACGACGCACAUAGCCCAGCAUUGGCUUUUGAACUACCCUUCGAUGCCGAAGUACCUAAAGCUCCAGUGAAGCCUGUUACAAGACGUAAAAAGAUAUGUACUGUAGCUUUUUCGAGGCAGUUUCCGAGGACAAAUAAAGUUGAUUUGUCAUACAGCA